AAGCUACAAAUGAAGGGAAAUCUGUGGUUAAUUGCUUUGUUUUUAGCUCUCUAUUUGGUGAUUUCAUCUUAUGCAGCUUCAACUCAAACAUACCAAAUCCGCAAACUUUUGGGUAUAAUAGAUUCACGGCCUAGUUCGUCUAGACCGGCAGGCCAGUGUUGUUAGCUAGGCAAAGGCGGCGGGAGAAGGGAGCAUGAUGCUCUCAUGAGAGCUGCCGUUCGUAGUGUAUAUAGACUUUAAUUGGACUGGUAGGAUCAGACCCAUGGACCAUGGUCACUAUAAACCUCCCAAAAGGUAUCAUGCCACACCAUAUAAUUUGCCCGCUCAUCCAAUUGGUUCAUGACACUUGCAGGUUGCAAGGCUAUAUCUAACAUACAACAUAUAUGGAGGAAAAGAUACAGCAAUUCAAGGAACUGAACCAUAUUUAAAAACUGNAAAAAA